rnacentral:tRNA from 11 species
CGUGCCGGGAUUUGAGCCCCGGACAUCUGACAUGCGAGGCGAACGUGUUACCACUACCCCACCAAC